AUUGAACGCUGGCGGCAGGCUUAACACAUGCAAGUCGAGCGAGCGGCGGACGGGUGAGUAAUGCCUGGGAAUUGUCCAGUCGAGGGGGAAAAAAGUUGGAAACGACUGCUAAUACCGCAUAAGCAUGGAUUGCCCAGGUGGGAUUAGAUAUUUGGUGAGGUAAUGGCUCACCAAGGCGACGACCCCUAGCUGGUCUGAGAGGAUGAUCAGCCACCCUGGAACUGAGACACGGUCCAGACUCCGACGGGAGGCAGCAGUGGGGAAUAUUGCACAAUGGGAGAAACCCUGAUGCAGCCAUGCCGCGUGUGUGAAGAAGGCCUUCGGGUUGUAAAGCACUUUCAGCGAGGAGGCGUUACUCGCAGAAGAAGCACCGGCUAACUCCGUGCCAGCAGCCGCGGUAAUUC
rnacentral:rRNA from 1 species